GAUGAACGCUGGCGGCGUGCCUAAUACAUGCAAGUCGAGCGAACGGACGAGAAGCUUGCUUCUCUGAUGUUAGCGGCGGACGGGUGAGUAACACGUGGAUAACCUACCUAUAAGACUGGGAUAACUUCGGGAAACCGGAGCUAAUACCGGAUAAUAUUUUGAACCGCAUGGUUCAAAAGUGAAAGACGGUCUUGCUGUCACUUAUAGAUGGAUCCGCGCUGCAUUAGCUAGUUGGUAAGGUAACGGCUUACCAAGGCAACGAUGCAUAGCCUACCUGAGAGGGGGACAGGCCACCUGGGAACGGGAACAGGGCCCAAACCCCAACGGGAGGCAGGAGUAGGGAAUUUCCCGAAAUGGGCGAAAGCCUGAAGGAGCAACGCCGGGGGAGGGAUGAAGGUCUUGGGAUGGUAAAAAUUUGUUAUUAGGGAAAAAAAUAUGGGAAAGUAACUGGGCAAAUCUGGAGGGUACCAAAUCAAAAAGCCAGGGAAAACUACGU
rnacentral:rRNA from 1 species